CACCACAGUAACACAAGAAAGUCAUUCUGUACACCACAGUAACACAGUGAAUUUAUUCUGUACACCACAGUAACACAGUAAAUUUAUUUUGUACAUCACAGUAACACAAGGAAGUUAUUCUAUACCUAACGGUAAAUCAAGAAAAUCACAAUAUACACCACAGUAACACAAGGAAGUCAUUCUGUACAUCACAGUAACUCAAGAAAAUCACACUAUACACCACAGUAACACAAGAAAGUCAUUCUGUACCUAACAGUAAAUCAAGAAAAUCACACUAUACACCACAGUAACUCAGUGAAUUUAUUCUGUACAUCACAGUAACACAAGGAAGUCAUUCUGUACAUCUCAGUAACUCAAGAAAAUCACACUAUACACCACAGUAACACAAGAAAAUGUUUGUGAUUUUGUGUAUGU